GUUAUACAUGGGGUCAUCGGUGUGUAUGUGGUCAUGGAUGUGGUCAUGCUGCACCUCCUGCCGCAGGUGGGGGCACACGCGUGUGUCAUACGUGUGGGGGGGGCAUGGCUGGGGUCAUACGUGGGGUAGUGGGUGCGUGUGUGGUCAUACGUGAGGUUAUACAUGGGGUCAUGGGUGUGUGGGGUGACCUGUGUGGUCAUACGUGUGGUCAUGGGUGUGUGUGUGGUCAUAUAUGUGGUCAUACGUGUGGUCAUGGGUGUGUGAGCGGACAUAUAUGUGGUCACGCUGCACCUCCUGCUGCAGGUGGGGGCACACGCGUGUGUCAUACGUGUGGGGAGGCACGGCUGGGGUCAUACGUGCGUGGUGUCAUGGGUGCAG
ensembl:lncRNA